AGGACGAACGCUGGCGGCGUGCUUAACACAUGCAAGUCGAACGGUAAGGCCUUUCGGGGUACACGAGUGGCGAACGGGUGAGUAACACGUGGGUGAUCUGCCCUGCACUUUGGGAUAAGCCUGGGAAACUGGGUCUAAUACCGAAUAUGACCAUGGACUUCACGGUUUGUGGUGGAAAGCUUUUGCGGUGUGGGAUGGGCCCGCGGCCUAUCAGCUUGUUGGUGGGGUAAUGGCCUACCAAGGCGACGACGGGUAGCCGGCCUGAGAGGGUGACCGGCCACACUGGGACUGAGAUACGGCCCAGACUCCUACGGGAGGCAGCAGUGGGGAAUAUUGCACAAUGGGCGCAAGCCUGAUGCAGCGACGCCGCGUGAGGGAUGACGGCCUUCGGGUUGUAAACCUCUUUCAGUAGGACGAAGCGCAAGUGACGGUACCUAUAGAAGAAGGACCGGCCAACUACGUGCCAGCAGCCGC
rnacentral:rRNA from 1 species